CGAGCGUCAGUGAUGAGCAAUUCCAAUAUGUUAUCCUUGCACUAUGAUUGCCAGUGAAGAAACUAAUGGGGAAUGAUUACUCUGAGAUGCUC
rfam:Vigna angularis cultivar Jingnong 6 chromosome 3, whole genome shotgun sequence.